rnacentral:rRNA from 1 species
CUCGGGGGCCUUCCCCGGGCGUCGAACAGCCGACUCAGAACUGGUACGGACAAGGGGAAUCCGACUGUUUAAUUAAAACAAAGCAUUGCAAUGGU